GCAUAUCAAUAAGCGGAGGAAAAGAAACCAACAGGGAUUGCCCUAGUAACGGCGAGUGAAGCGGCAAUAGCUCAAAUUUGAAAGCUGGCCUCUGGUCCGCAUUGUAAUUUGUAGAGGAUGCUUUUAGGCAGCCGCCGGUCUAAGUUCCUUGGAACAGGACGUCAUAGAGGGUGAGAAUCCCGUAUGUGACCGGCUCAGGCACCUUAUGUAAAGCUCCUUCGACGAGUCGAGUUGUUUGGGAAUGCAGCUCUAAAUGGGAGGUAAAUUUCUUCUAAAGCUAAAUACUGGCGAGAGACCGAUAGCGCACAAGUAGAGUGAUCGAAAGAUGAAAAGCACUUUGGAAAGAGAGUUAAAAAGCACGUGAAAUUGUUGAAAGGGAAGCGCUUGCAAUCAGACUUGGCCUCGGAUGUUCAACCGGUCUUCUGACCGGCCUAUUCAUUCGGGGCCAGGCCAGCAUCAGUUUCGGCGGCCGGAUAAAGGCCUUGGGAAUGUGGCUUUCCCUUCGGGGGAAGUGUUAUAGCCCAGGGUGUAAUACGGCCAGCUGGGACUGAGGUCCGCGCUUCGGCUAGGAUGCUGGCGUAAUGGUUGUAAGCGGCCCGUCUUGAAACACGGACCAAGGAGUCUAACAUCUAUGCGAGUGUUAGGGUGUCAAACCCUUACGCGUAAUGAAAGUGAACGGAGGUGGGAACCCGCAAGGGUGCACCAUCGACCGAUCCUGAUGUCUUCGGAUGGAUUUGAGUAAGAGCAUAGCUGUUGGGACCCGAAAGAUGGUGAACUAUGCCUGAAUAGGGUGAAGCCAGAGGAAACUCUGGUGGAGGCUCGCAGCGGUUCUGACGUGCAAAUCGAUCGUCAAAUUUGGGUAUAGGGGGCGAAAGACUAAUCGAACCAUCUAGUAGCUGGUUCCUGCGA
rnacentral:rRNA from 1 species